rnacentral:lncRNA from 1 species
UCCAGCCCUCCUGCACACGAUCUCCUGAGCCGAAAAUCACGCCUCUCACAUCGCUCCUCUCCCCACGCCGCCACGCGCUCUCCUUCCCGCAAACCGCGGUUCCCAGAUCGCUCCGCUUCCCCUCGCCCAACCGGCGGCACUCUGGAUGAGCUCCUCGCCGUGCUCGACUCGCCGUCGCUCGACGACCUCGCGGUGUACGCGUCCAACAUGGCGACCACCGCGCUAGCUGACAGGUCGGCAUCGGGUGGACCGCGCGUCGCGUUCACGUCCGGCGUGUGGUGCGACGCCGCGCUCCCGCCGAUCAAGCACGACUACCGCGACGCCGUCCUCGGCAGGUACAACCGUACAAUGCCGAGGCCAUCACCGUCGACUUCGAGAACAAGGCCGGGAAAGCAAGAAAGCAGAUCAACGAGUGGACGCGGCAGGUGACGAGGGGCCUCAUCAACUCUGUCCUGCCGCCGGGAUCCAUCGGCCUGACGACGGCCAUCGUGCUCGGCAACGCCAUCUACCAAGAAGAAGCCGUUCUACCGCCUCGACGUCGUCCACGACGUGCCGUACAUGUUGUCGAGCAACUCCAAACAGUACGUCGCCGUGCAAGACGGGUUCAAGGUGCUCAAGCUCCACUACAGCGCGCCGAAUCUCCAUAACAAGCCCACGCAAGCGCGGCCGUGGUGGCAGCAACGACGACGACCUCACGAAGUACGCCAUGGUCAUCUUCCUCCCCGACGUGCGCGACGGGCUGCGUGGCCUCGUGGAGAAGAUGGCGUCGCGUCCGAAUCGGUGUGGGUCGGCGAGUUCAUGGUGCCCAAGUUCAAGGUGUCCUUCGCCGACAGCGUCGUCGGAAUCCUUGGGCAGCUGGGGCUCCGGCUGCCGUUCUCACCUUAGCUCGCCGACCUGCUCGUCAUGGUGGAGGACGACGGCUCUGGCUUGCCGUUGUUUGUGAGCCAAAGUCAUCCACAAGGCGGUGAUCGAGGUGAAUGCGGAAGGAAGUAAAGCUGCUGCCGUUACCAUGGCGAUGGGGAGAAUUGGGUGUUCAGGGAUGAAGCGGCCGCUGCCUCCGCCGCUGGUGAACUUCGUCGCCGACCAUCCGUACUUGAUGGUAUCAAGUGAAGUCUCAAAUGAUUAAUACAUGAUUAUGCUUUGAAGGGCUUUGGGUUUAAGCAAAACAUGUUGGAUCACUAAUUGUCACUCUUCUCAAAUUGAUCAAAUAGUACUGCCCAUCUCG